rnacentral:rRNA from 1 species
GACGAACGCUGGCGGCGUGCCUAAUACAUGCAAGUUGAGCGCUGAAGGUUGGUACUUGUACCAACUGGAUGAGCAGCGAACGGGUGAGUAACGCGUGGGGAAUCUGCCUUAGAGCGGGGGACAACAUUUGGAAACGAAUGCUAAUACCGCAUAAAAACUUUAAACACAAGUUUUAAGUUUGAAAGAUGCAAUUGCAUCACUCAAAGAUGAUCCCGCGUUGUAUUAGCUAGUUGGUGAGGUAAAGGCUCACCAAGGCGAUGAUACAUAGCCGACCUGAGAGGGUGAUCGGCCACAUUGGGACUGAGACACGGCCCAAACUCCUACGGGAGGCAGCAGUAGGGAAUCUUCGGCAAUGGACGAAAGUCUGACCGAGCAACGCCGCGUGAGUGAAGAAGGUUUUCGGAUCGUAAAACUCUGUUGGUAGAGAAGAACGUUGGUGAGAGUGGAAAGCUCAUCAAGUGACGGUAACUACCCAGAAAGGGACGGCUAACUACGUG